GGGGCAACCCCAAGUAGAGUGGCGGACGGGUGAGUAACGCGUAGGAAUCUACCCAGUAGUGGGGGAUAACCCGGCGAAAGCCGGGCUAAUACCGCAUAGGCCCUACGGGGCAAAGCAGGGGAUCUUCGGACCUUGCGCUAUUGGAUGAGCCUGCGUCGGAUUAGCUAGUUGGUGGGGUAAAGGCCCACCAAGGCGACGAUCCGUAGCUGGUCUGAGAGGAUGAUCAGCCACACUGGGACUGAGACACGGCCCAGACUCCUACAGGAGGCAGCAGUGGGGAAUAUUGGACAAUGGGGGCAACCCUGAUCCAGCAAUGCCGCGUGUGUGAAGAAGGCCUUCGGGUUGUAAAGCACUUUCGGUAGGGAAGAAAAAAGUUUGGCUAAUAUCCAAGCUCUUGACGGUACCUAAAGAAGAAGCACCGGCUAACUCUGUGCCAGCAGCCGCGGUAAUACAGAGGGUGCAAGCGUUAAUCGGAAUUACUGGGCGUAAAGCGUGCGUAGGUGGUUCGGUCAGUCAGAUGUGAAAGCCCUGGGCUCAACCUGGGAACUGCAUUUGAUACUGCUGAGCUAGAGUUUGGUAGAGGGAAGUGGAAUUCCACGUGUAG
rnacentral:rRNA from 1 species